GGAUCGCAAGACCUGGCGCUUGAAGAGGGGCUCGCGUCCGAUUAGCUUGUUGGUGAGGUAAUGGCUCACCAAGGCUCCGAUCGGUAGCCGGCCUGAGAGGGCGGACGGCCACACUGGGACUGAGACACGGCCCAGACUCCUACGGGAGGCAGCAGUGGGGAAUUGUUCGCAAUGGGCGAAAGCCUGACGACGCAAUGCCGCGUGGAGGAUGAAGACUUCGGGUCGUAAACUCCUUUCGACCGAGAUGAACGCCUGUCGGCCUAAUACGUCGGCGGGGUGACAGUAUCGAGGGAAGAAGCCCCGGCUAACUCCGUG
rnacentral:rRNA from 1 species